UACGAAGGGGGCUAGCGUUGCUCGGAAUCACUGGGCGUAAAGCGCACGUAGGCGGAUCUUUAAGUCAGGGGUGAAAUCCCAAGGCUCAACCUUGGAACUGCCUUUGAUACUGGGGAUCUCGAGUCCGGAAGAGGUUGGUGGAACUGCGAGUGUAGAGGUGAAAUUCGUAGAUAUUCGGAAGAACACCAGUGGCGAAGGCGGCUCACUGGACCGGUAUUGACGCUGAGGUGCGAAAGCGUGGGGAGCAAACAGG
rnacentral:rRNA from 1 species